UAUUGGAAGCUUGCUUUUGAUGGGCGUCGACCGGCGCACGGGUGAGUAACGCGUAUCCAACCUGCCCAUCACUUGGGGAUAACCUUGCGAAAGUAAGACUAAUACCCAAUGACGUCUCUAGAAGACAUCUGAAAGAGAUUAAAGAUUUAUCGGUGAUGGAUGGGGAUGCGUCUGAUUAGCUUGUUGGCGGGGUAACGGCCCACCAAGGCGACGAUCAGUAGGGGUUCUGAGAGGGUGAUCGGCCACAUUGGAACUGAGACACGGUCCAAACUCC
rnacentral:rRNA from 1 species